AGCCAGAGCCAUAUCUCCCUGCAGUCCCCACUGAUGCUAAGCAGGGUUGAGCCUGGCAGGUACCUGGAUGGGUGACCUCCUGGGGAAACCUAAGGUUGCUGCUC
rnacentral:rRNA from 1 species